ACGCUCGACACCUACUGGAGGCAGCAGUGGGGAAUAUUGCACAAUGGGGGAAACCCUGAUGCAGCAACGCCGCGUGAAGGAAGACGGUUUUCGGAUUGUAAACUUCUGUUCUUAGUGAAGAUAGUGACGGUAGCUAAGGAGCAAGCCACGGCUAACUACGUGCUAGCAGCCGCGGUGAUCUGAGGCGGGCUGGCAAGGC
rnacentral:rRNA from 1 species